rnacentral:rRNA from 1 species
AACGAACGCUGGCGGCAGGCUUAACACAUGCAAGUCGAGCGCGUAGCAAUACGAGCGGCAGACGGGUGAGUAACACGUGGGAAUCUACCCAUCCCUGCGGAACAACUCUGGGAAACUGGAGCUAAUACCGCAUACGCCCUUAAGGGGAAAGAUUUAUCGGGGAUGGAUGAGCCCGCGUUGGAUUAGCUAGUUGGUGGGGUAAAGGCCUACCAAGGCGACGAUCCAUAGCUGGUCUGAGAGGAUGAUCAGCCACAUUGGGACUGAGACACGGCCCAAACUCCUACGGGAGGCAGCAGUGGGGAAUAUUGGACAAUGGGCGCAAGCCUGAUCCAGCCAUGCCGCGUGAGUGAUGAAGGCCUUAGGGUUGUAAAGCUCUUUCACCGAUGAAGAUAAUGACGGUAGUCGGAGAAGAAGCCCCGGCUAACUUCGUGCCAGCCGCCGCGGUAACAC